rnacentral:rRNA from 1 species
AGCGAACGCUGGCGGCGUGCUUAACACAUGCAAGUCGAGCGAAGGUGUUUCAAGGGUAACCUUGAGAUACACUUAGCGGCGGACGGGUGAGUAAUACGUGGAUAACUUACCUCUAGGCCUGGGAUAACCCCGGGAAACUGGGGCUAAUACCUGGUAAGACCACAUUGUCUACGGACAAAGGGGUAAAAGGUGGCUGUGCAAACAGCUAUCGCCAAAAGAUAGGUUCACGUCCCAUCAGGCAGUGGUGAGGUAAUGGCUCACCAAACAAGACGGUAGCCGGCCUUGGCGGGUGAACGGCCACACGGGGACGUGAGACACCGGCCCCGACUCCUACGGGAGGCAGCAGUGGGGAAUAUUGGGCAAUGGGCGCAAGCCUGACCCAGCGACGUCGCGUUGGGGAAGAAGGCC